CUCGUAGGCGGUUCGGUAAGUCGGGUGUGAAAACUCUGGGCUCAACUCAGAGACGCCACUCGAUACUGCUGUGACUAGAGUGCGGUAGGGGAGCGGGGAAUUUCUGGUGUAGCGGUGAAAUGCGCAGAUAUCAGAAGGAACACCAGUGGCGAAGGCGCCGCUCUGGGCCGUAACUGACGCCGAGGAGCGAAAGCAUGGGUAGCAAACA
rnacentral:rRNA from 1 species